rnacentral:RNase_P_RNA from 2 species
CGUGCAGACCGGGUGAUCGCUCCGCUUCCAAAAACGGGGAGGAAAGUCCGGACUCCACAGGGCAGUGUGCUGGCUAACGGCCAGGAUUCGUUGGUCCUAUUGCUUCUUCGGAGGCGACGGGACUGGCGGGUACGGAAAGCGCAACAGAAAAUAUACCGCCCCGGCUUGCCGGGGUAAGGGUGAAAUGGUGCGGCCCCUUCACGGGGGAUUAAAGUAAGAGCGCACCGCUUGGGUGGCGACGCCCAAGGCAUGGCAAACCCCACACGGAGCAAGACCAAAUAGGAGGGGAGGAGCGGCCCGCUCCGCAAACUCGUCCGGCAACGGGCGGGAGGUAACUCUCGGGUAGGUUGCUAGAGCUUGUGAGCAAUCACAAGCCCAGAGGAAUGAUCGCCGUCCUGGCUUGCUGGGACACAGAAUCCGGCUUAUAGGCCUGCUCGCCUC